AUUGAACGCUGGCGGCAGGCCUAACACAUGCAAGUCGAGCGGAUGAAGGGAGCUUGCUCCUGGAUUCAGCGGCGGACGGGUGAGUAAUGCCUAGGAAUCUGCCUGGUAGUGGGGGAUAACGUCCGGAAACGGGCGCUAAUACCGCAUACGUCCUGAGGGAGAAAGUGGGGGAUCUUCGGACCUCACGCUAUCAGAUGAGCCUAGGUCGGAUUAGCUAGUUGGUGGGGUAAAGGCCUACCAAGGCGACGAUCCGUAACUGGUCUGAGAGGAUGAUCAGUCACACUGGAACUGAGACACGGUCCAGACUCCUACGGGAGGCAGCAGUGGGGAAUAUUGGACAAUGGGCGAAAGCCUGAUCCAGCCAUGCCGCGUGUGUGAAGAAGGUCUUCGGAUUGUAAAGCACUUUAAGUUGGGAGGAAGAGCAGUAAGUUAAUACCUUGCUGUUUUGACGGUACCCACAGAAUAAGCACCGGCUAACUUCGUG
rnacentral:rRNA from 1 species